GAAAAGUUUUCUCUGGUGAAUUGUUAAUAUUCCCUUCCUAUUCAUUUUCAGAGAAGGAUUGCUUCCCUUCUGGAACACCAGCACUGAACACCAAGGGGCCGGAAACACUAGCAAUAAUAAUGGAGGAAGAUGAGGAUGAUGGAGAGGUGGGUCUUUUACUGCCCCAGGACAUGACCACACAAGACCAGGCAUGGCAGAGCAGGGGGCUCAGUUGCCACAAACCUUCAGGGUCCUCAAAGGAAAGCCAACGGAGCAUCCUCUAGCUGUGCGGGGUGUCAACAAG
rnacentral:lncRNA from 1 species